AGACAAGGAAACUUGGAAUGACUUUUCAUAGGUAAGAAUAGUUUUUGGCUCUUUUUUCAUUAUGAAAUCUUGUUGAGAGCUUCCAGUCUAUGAGAGCUAACUAGUUAGCCACUAGCAAAACACUAAGGCGAGCUAGCAGCUUGACAAGCAAAUACCAGACGAUUAAUAGUAGCUGUAGUAUAGUUGUACAAGCAGUAGUAGUAACACUAAAAGUACAAGCAGCAGUAGUAGUAUAAACAGCUGUUAGAGUCAUAGAAGUAGUAUCAGAAUUUGUAAAAGUAUUACAAGUUGUAGUAGCAGUGCCAGUAUCAGCAGCAGUAGUGUACUAUCACUACUACUAGUAGUAGUCACAUUGCUAUUACUACCACCAAUACUACCAAUAGUAGUUAUAAAGCCAGACUCAUGUAUAUCCAGAUUACCAUCUAUGUUCUUCCUCCAAACCCAUUUUAUGAUCGGGAUUACAGGCAGUUCUUUAGGACUGCUCUCAAAUAAUUCAAAUGUUACUAAACAAGGUUAUACUUAUCAAAUUAAAUAGCUCUGGUCUCCAGUAUAUUGGCGAAUUCGGUUAUUUGUACUUAAUUUAUUAGCAUGAUUUCUUUUUAAUAUGUUGUGUACAGACUUAAUUACUUCUCUGUCUACUUUUCUUACUCCAUGUAGGUUUCCCAGAGACUAUGGGUUGAGGAGGAAUUGGAAGUUUGUCGGCUUAGACCUGGUGUCAUUCCAUCAGUGUUAAACUUCCCGGCUCAUCUUGGAAGAGUACGUGCCAGAAAGACCACGACCAAGCAGCCUUGAGAUCUUAGGCAGCGUCUCCCUGAGGUCCCUCUCUAUCUCCCCACACAUCCACCAACCACUGGAACACAUCUCCAAAGUUCUGCCGGGCCAGCUCAGCUUCCCCUCAGAAGAAGUGCCGCCACCUGACAGAUGAAGAAGCCUUUUGAGAGGCAGCUGGCAUCAUGAUUGGACUGUACUUUGGUCUGUUCCAAUCCAGCUUCAGCUCCAGAGACGGCAGGCGGGACGAGUCAACGGAGGCCGGGUGGACGAAGGCAUGCAGCUGAGUACAAUCCAGAAAACAACAGAGGAGGAGUGCAGCAGGCCCAGGGCCAGAACAAACAGAGUAGCAUCGUAUGUCUCUUAGAAAACAUCAUAGUAUAGCCUUUGGUAUGAAAAAACGCCAUCAUAUACAUCGUAUAUUGUACAAAUAACAAGUCAAAGGAAAGAGACAUACAUUGUAGAAUUGUAGUAAUUGUGGGCUGACUGAUUUACUGAUUAUCAGUGUUUUAUUUUUUACUGAUUUACGGUAAUAAAUACAUUUAAAAAUGG